ACACUUCCCUUACACUGAAGAGACAUCCGUGCAAAUCGGGUCGCCCU
rnacentral:tRNA from 1 species